GAUGAACGCUAGCGGCAGGCCUCAUACAUGCAAGUCGAGGGGCAGCGGGACACUUCGGUGUUGCCGGCGACCGGCGGACGGGUGCGUAAUGCGCAUGCAAUCUACUUUACACUGGGGAAUAGCCUCCGGAAACGGGAAUUAAUACCCCAUAUAAUCUUAUAGCGCAUGUUAAAAAGAUGAAAGCUCCGGCGGUGUAAAAUGAGCGUGCGUCCUAUUAGCUAGUUGGUGAGGUAAUGGCUCACCAAGGCUACGAUGGGUAGGGGUUCUUAGUGGAAGGUCCCCCACACUGGCACUGAGAUACGGGCCAGACUCCUACGGGAGGCAGCAGUAGGGAAUAUUGGUCAAUGGGCGCAAGCCUGAACCAGCCAUGCCGCGUGCAGGAUGAAGGCUCUCUGAGUUGUAAACUGCUUUUGUACAGGAGCAAAAAAAUCCCUGCGGGGGUUCUUGAGAGUACUGUAAGAAUAAGCACCGGCUAAUUCCGUGCCAGCAGCCGCGGUAAUACGGGAGGUGCAAGCGUUAUCCGGUUUUAUUGGGUUUAAAGGGUGCGUAGGCGGCUUAUUAAGUCAGUUGUGAAAUCCUAGUGCUUAACGCUAGAACUGCGAUUGAUACUAUUAGGCUUGAGUUAAGAAGAGGUAAGUAG
rnacentral:rRNA from 1 species